GGAAUAAUUUGAACUCUUAUCUAAAAUCUAAAUUGAUUCGUAGAUUAAAUAAAAUUAUACUUGUUAAUAAAUAAAUAGGUUUUCUUAUUUUCUUAAAAAUUAGGCGACGAUUUUGUACAUUUUUAAUUCUUUUAGAGUCCAUAUUGUCGUGCUCGUUUUGACCUUAGGUAAAAAUAGGAAAUGACAUUCAGUCAAACUAUGUUCACUAUGUUCAGUAGAAUUUAGUUAGUCAUGUGAUUCAGGAAAAUUCAGUAAACCUAGAAAUCUCAUAAAGCUCAGAAAUUCAGUAAUAUCUUUAAUAUUCCGUCAGUCAAUGGAACUCCACGAACCCAAUCUAGUUCAGUUCAAUAAAUCAUAUUCAGUGUCUGUUCAGAUGGGAGUAGGAUUCAGCAUCGAGUGAACCCAAG
rnacentral:lncRNA from 1 species